GACAGAGGUCCCAAGCGUUAGGCGGAAUCACUGGGCUUAAAGCGUGUGUAGGCGGACUUCUAAGUACCUUGUGAAAUCCCACGGCUCACCCGUGGAACUGCUGGGCAUACUGGCGAUCUUGGGCCAACUAGGGGCAGUCGGAACAAGCGGUGGAGCGGUGAAAUGCGUAGAUAUCGCUUGGAACGCCGAAGGUGAAAACAGACUGCUGGGGUUGCGCCGACGCUGAGACACGAAAGCCAGGGGAGCAAACGGGG
rnacentral:rRNA from 1 species